GCACCCCCCACCCCUGCCCUCCAACAUCCUUCAUCCCCAGCCCUACUCAGCAGCCCGCCCCGCCCACAGCUAUGUGCUGACACUCGUCACAGACGGCAUGCGCAGCGUCCGUGCCUUCCACUUUGACAAGGCAGCCGCCAGUGUCCUCACCACCAGUGUGAGUAGGGGCAGGGGUGGAGGUCUUGCACUGGGUCCAGGUCUGGCCUCCUCUCAUCCACACGCCCGCCCUCAGAUGGUCACCAUGGAGCCUGGGUACCUGUUCCUGGGCUCGCGCCUGGGCAAUUCCCUCCUCCUCAAGUACACAGAGAAGCUGCAGGAGCCCCCAGCCAGUGCUGUCCGCGAGGCUGCUGACAAGGUGGGUGCUCAUGGUGGUGCCCAGGUGCUUGGCCACCUCCCCUUGGUGUAAAGCAGCCUGGAAAUGCUGUUCACCUCUGUCUCCCGCCUCACAGGAAGAGCCUCCCUCCAAGAAGAAGCGGGUGGACCCCACAGUGGGCUGGUCAGGUGAGAGCUGGACCGGUUGGGUGGGGUGGGUCUGGGAGCCAGGGCAAGGCUCAAGUGGGCUGUGUGCGCUACAGGGGGCAAGUCCGUGCCACAGGACGAGGUGGACGAGAUUGAAGUGUACGGCAGUGAGGCCCAGUCAGGCACACAGCUGGCCACCUACUCCUUUGAGGUGAGACUGGGGACAGCCGUGGAUGCCCGCCCCCUCCCACCACCUGACUGCCACUGUGUCUUCAGGUGUGUGACAGCAUGCUCAACAUCGGACCCUGCGCCAAUGCUGCUGUGGGCGAGCCCGCCUUCCUCUCCGAAGAGGUGCCUGGGGCCUGGGCUUGGGUUGGGGGCAGGAGCGGGGUUGGGGCAGCAUCUUUACCCCGACCUGUGCAGUUUCAGAACAGCCCUGAGCCAGACCUGGAGAUUGUGGUUUGCUCCGGCUAUGGGAAGAACGGGGCCCUAUCAGUGCUGCAGGUGUGUAGGGCAGGGGGGGUGGGCACCUGCGGGCAGCACCUGAGUAGGCUGACCCCAUCCCACCCUAUCUUCAUUCCAGAAGAGUAUCCGGCCCCAGGUAGUGACAACCUUUGAACUUCCUGGCUGCUAUGACAUGUGGACAGUCAUUGCCCCUGUGCGCAAGGAGGAGGUAGGUGGGACCCUAGGUGAUAGUGACUGUGGUGGCCUGAGGGCACCUGGAUCCAGUGGUCAUAGCCAUCACAGCUCUCUGUCCUCCCUGUCCUUGGCCCGUGCAGGAGGAGGCACCUAAGGCAGAGGGCCCAGAGCAGGAGCCGAGCACCCCUGAAGCAGAAGAUGAUGGCCGGAGACAUGGCUUCCUCAUUCUGAGCCGGGAAGACUCAACAAUGGUGAAGGGCGGGGUCUGGAUGUGGGCGUCUGGGGUUCCCCGGGGAAGGGCACAACUCACUACGUUACCUACAGAUCCUUCAGACUGGCCAGGAGAUCAUGGAACUGGACACCAGUGGCUUUGCCACACAGGGCCCCACGGUUUUUGCUGGAAACAUUGGGGACAAUCGCUACAUUGUCCAAGUGUCACCACUGGGCAUCCGCUUGCUAGAAGGAGGUAGGUGGGCAAGUGUAGGGAAGCGCGUCCUGGGGAGUAUGCUGCAUUGGCCACCCUGUGCUGACCACCCUGUGCCCACAGUGAAUCAGCUGCACUUCAUCCCUGUGGACCUGGGUGCCCCCAUCGUGCAGUGCGCUGUGGCCGACCCCUAUGUGGUCAUCAUGAGCGCCGAGGGCCGUGUUACCAUGUUCCUGCUCAAGAGUGAUUCGUAUGGUGGCCGCCACCACCGCCUUGCACUGCACAAGCCUCCACUGCACCAUGUAGGCCUCACCCUCUGUGUCUGCCAUCCCUGCCUAUGAUCCCCUAUCCCCACUGUCCCCGACCUACACUGGGCUUUGUCUCUCCCUGCAGCAGUCCAAGGUGAUCACACUCUGCCUGUAUCGUGAUGUCAGCGGCAUGUUCACCACCGAGAGCCGCCUGAGUGGGGCCCGUGAUGAGAUGGGGGGCCGCAGUGGUUCAGAGGCCGAAGGACUGGGCUCAGAGACCAGGUGUGCAGGGGGCCAGGGUGCAGGAGACCUGGGUCUCUGUGGCAGAUUGAGACAUGUCUGUGUCUUCAGCCCUACAGUGGAUGACGAGGAGGAGAUGCUCUAUGGGGACUCAGGCUCCCUCUUCAGCCCCAGCAAAGAGGAGGCCCGGAGGAGCAGCCAGCCCCCUGCUGACCGAGACCCUGCACCCUUUCGGGCAGAGCCCACCCACUGGUGCCUGCUGGUGCGAGAGAACGGCACCAUGGAGGUAGGUGCACACAUGUGGCUCAGCAGCCCUGGCAGCAUGGCAGGCCCUAUCGUCACUGACUGCUGUCCCCCACCAGAUCUACCAGCUUCCAGACUGGCGGCUGGUGUUCCUGGUGAAGAACUUCCCUGUGGGGCAGCGGGUCCUGGUGGACAGUUCCUUUGGACAGCCUACCACGCAGGGUGAGGCCCGCAAGGAAGAGGCCACGCGCCAGGGGGAGCUGCCCCUGGUCAAGGAGGUGCUGCUGGUUGCUCUGGGGAGUCGCCAGAGCAGGCCCUACCUGCUGGUGAGCCCUUUGGUGCCUGCCCAGAGGCUGGGACCUGCCCUCACAGCCCAGCCCAUUCCUCCACUCUGUCCUCGGGGCCCAGCCCCACCUCGUGGCCCACCCUGUCUCACUUCCAGGUGCAUGUGGACCAGGAGCUGCUUAUCUAUGAGGCUUUUCCCCAUGACUCUCAGCUUGGCCAGGGCAAUCUCAAAGUUCGCUUCAAGAAGGUGCAGCUGCUAGACCCUUUUGGGGUGGGUUGGGAGGGGUCCAGGCUACAGGGUCUGAAGGGCCUGGCGUUCAUCAACACCUUCACCAGGUCCCCCACAACAUCAAUUUCCGUGAAAAGAAGGCAAAACCCUCCAAGAAGAAGGCAGAAGGUGGCAGUGUGGAGGAGGGUUCUGGGGCCCGGGGACGUGUGGCACGUUUCCGCUACUUCGAGGACAUUUAUGGCUAUUCUGGGGUAGGCAGGCAGCUUUGUUUGGGCUUGGGGGUAGGGGAACAGGACCUUGCCCACAUGUUCUCACAGUGUCUGUCUCCAGGUGUUCAUCUGUGGCCCCUCACCCCACUGGCUCCUAGUGACUGGCCGGGGGGCUCUGCGGCUGCACCCCAUGGGCAUCGAUGGCCCCAUCGACUCCUUCGCCCCAUUCCACAAUGUCAAUUGUCCCCGAGGCUUUCUGUAUUUCAACAGACAGGUAGGAAGGUUAACUCUGGCCGCACCACAAGCACUGGUACUGCCCUGGCAAAGCUAGGCGCUAGGGACAGGAGGGCUCCUCAGCUGCAGCACAUCCCAGAGGACCAGGGAUGACUAUCUAGAGGAGGGUAGGGCCCAGGAGGUGGGAUCUGGGGCUUGAGGCUGGAGCAGUUGGCAGUGGAGGCCUGGCUGAUGGGGCAUACCCUGAAAGCCCUUGCCUCAUCUGUGACACCCACAUGGCAGCAAUGACCACCUGAGUCACUGACAGACUCUGGUGUUGAGUGCUUCCAAGGGGCUAAUGCACUCAGGACUGGACAGAAGCUGAGGCUGGGGCUGGCAGGGUCUCCCUCUGCCUGUGUUCUUCAGUCCCUGGCAUGGCCAGUCUCAGUCAUGUGGCUUUUAGUCUCUAGUGUCCUCUGGGCUUGGACUCCCAUGCCCUGUGCUGUAUUCCCCAGCCAGAAGGAUGGACAGGAGCCUACUGAUAGAAGGCAUGGGGACUGACGACCAAGGCUACAGCUCUUCCAGACCUUCCCCAGACUCGGUGACCCUAGCCAGGCAGUAGCGAGGCCUGCAGCCCUAGGCCUUGCUGACUAUUUCCACCCACCCCAGGGUGAGCUGCGGAUCAGUGUCCUGCCUGCCUACUUGUCCUACGAUGCCCCAUGGCCCGUCAGGAAGAUCCCACUGCGCUGCACGGCUCACUAUGUGGCUUACCAUGUGGAGUCCAAGGUCUGUCCCCUCCCCCAGCACUCCCUCCCCCAGGCACCCCAGGCGUGUGACACCAUUCAACUCCUAGGUGUACGCCGUGGCCACCAGCACCAAUACACCCUGCACCCGCAUCCCGCGCAUGACUGGUGAGGAAAAGGAGUUUGAGGCCAUUGAGAGAGGUAUGUGCCACCAGGGGUGGGGUGGACCAUGCCCAGGGCUGGCUACGACCACUGCCUCCUUGUCCCUGCAGAUGACAGGUACAUCCACCCCCAACAGGAGGCCUUCUCCAUCCAGCUCAUCUCCCCAGUCAGCUGGGAGGCCAUUCCCAAUGCCAGGUGAUGUUGGGCCCAGUGGGGGCUUCCGGGUGCCAGCAGGGCAGGACUAGGGUGUCCUGAUACAGCCUGUCCUUGUGCAGAAUUGAGCUGGAGGAAUGGGAACACGUCACAUGCAUGAAGACAGUGUCGCUGCGCAGUGAGGAGACUGUGUCGGGCCUCAAGGGCUAUGUGGCUGCUGGGACCUGCCUCAUGCAGGGAGAGGAGGUCACGUGCCGCGGGCGGGUAAGCAGCUGCCAGGUGGGGACAGGCGGCCCUUGGCAGCCUGUCUGCCAUCCCCACAUGUUCCCUUGCCCUGCCAGAUCCUCAUCAUGGACGUGAUUGAGGUGGUGCCCGAACCUGGCCAGCCCCUAACCAAGAACAAGUUCAAGGUCCUAUACGAAAAGGAACAGAAGGGGCCUGUGACCGCCCUGUGCCACUGCAAUGGUCACCUGGUGUCAGCCAUUGGCCAGAAGGUACACAGCUACUCCUCCCUGCUGUGUUUCUGCCUGCUCACCCUGCCCACUCCACUGACCCUUCUGCCCCCUAGAUCUUCCUGUGGAGCCUGCGGGCCAGUGAGCUGACGGGCAUGGCCUUCAUCGACACCCAGCUGUACAUCCACCAGAUGAUCAGCGUCAAGAACUUCAUCUUAGCUGCAGAUGUCAUGAAGAGCAUCUCACUGCUGCGCUACCAAGAAGAGAGCAAGACGCUGAGCCUGGUGUCCCGGGUACUUCAUGUGGUCUUGGGGUACAGGUGAGAGUCAUACUCGGGCUCCUCCUGACACCUUCUGCUCCCUGACAACAGGAUGCCAAGCCUCUGGAGGUGUACAGUGUGGACUUCAUGGUGGACAAUGCCCAGCUGGGCUUUUUGGGUGAGUAGGGUCUUGGGGGAGUGUCACCCUGGGGGUGGCUGGAGCUGACUCUGGGUCUUUGCUCCCUAGUGUCUGACCGAGACCGCAACCUCAUGGUGUACAUGUACCUGCCAGAAGGUCAGUGGCUCCCUCCCUCACUUGUUUUUUUCAAUGUUUUUUAGUAGUUGAUGGACCUCUAUUUAUUUGUAUGUGGUGCUGAGAGUCGAACCCAGUGCAUCACACAUGCUAGACAAGCUAUCACUGAGCCACAACCCCAGCCCUCCCUCCCUCACUUCUACUCCGGCUGGGUAUUGGGCACUGGGUGGGCAGUGAUCUGAGUUCUUCUGUCCUAGCCAAGGAGAGCUUUGGGGGCAUGCGCCUGCUGCGCAGGGCAGACUUCCACGUGGGUGCCCACGUGAACACGUUCUGGAGAACGCCAUGCAGGGGGGCCACUGAGGGGCCCAGCAAGAAGUCGGUGGUGUGGGAGAACAAGCACAUCACGUGGUUUGGUGAGUGGGGUGGGGUAACUGAGCUCACUGCCCCCUCGAGCCACACUGGAUGACUAGGGGGUUGACCUGGCUCACGCUUCCCCCCAUCCCCAGCCACACUGGAUGGCGGCAUCGGGCUCCUGCUGCCCAUGCAGGAGAAGACCUACCGGAGGCUGCUGAUGCUGCAGAACGCACUGACCACCAUGUUGCCCCACCAUGCUGGUCUCAACCCCCGUGCCUUCCGGUGAGCACCCACCAUCCUCAGGGCUCUGCCUACCCUCCCAGGUUGCCCUGACCCCCCACACCCCCUCCCCAGGAUGUUGCAUGUGGACCGGCGCAUCCUACAGAACGCAGUGCGCAACGUGCUUGACGGAGAGCUGCUCAACCGCUACCUGUACCUCAGCACUAUGGAGCGUGGGGAGCUGGCCAAGAAGAUUGGCACGACCCCAGACAUUGUGAGUUGGCCUGCUUUCCCCCGCCCAUCCUGUCCCUGCCCUGCUGAGCCCUGCCCUGACGGCUUUCACCCUACAGAUCCUUGAUGACCUGCUGGAGACUGACCGUGUCACCGCCCACUUCUAAGCAUGUGGAUGCCACCCUGCCCCCGCACACUGCCUCCCCCCACCUUUUGUACAAAACAAGGAAAACAAA
rnacentral:lncRNA from 1 species